GUGUGAGGACGACCUCCCCUGAAUGGAAAACUGUCGGGACGACCCGG
rnacentral:ncRNA from 1 species